GACGAACGCUGGCGGCGUGCCUAAUACAUGCAAGUCGAACGCUUCUUUCCUCCCGAGUGCUUGCCCUCAAUUGGAAAGAGGAUUCGCGGACGGGUGAGUAACACGUCGGUAACUUACCCAUCAGAUGGGGAUAACACUUGGAAACUGGUGCUAAUACCGCAUAACAUUUUAUGCCGCAUGUCAUAAGAGUGAAAGGCGCUUUCGGGUGUCGUUCAUGGAUGUACCCGGGGUGCAUUAGCUUGUCGGUGAGGUAACGGCACAUCAAGGCAACGAUGCAAAGCUGAGCGGAGCGGGUGAUCGGCCCCACUAGGACUGAGACGCGGCACAGACUCCUACGGGAGGGAGCAGUAGAGAAUCGUAGGCAAUGGAAGAAAGGAGGACCGGACAAAGCCGCGUGGGUGAAGAAGGUAUGGGGAUCGUAAAAGUCAGCUGUUAGUGAAGAGCGAGAACGUUAGUAACGGAACGGCCGCUGAAGGUAUCUAACCAGAAAGCAACGGCUAACUACGUG
rnacentral:rRNA from 1 species